rnacentral:rRNA from 1 species
UGCAGUCGAGGGGUAUAGUUCUUCGGAACUAGAGACCGGCGCACGGGUGCGUAACGCGUAUGCAAUCUACCUUUUACAGAGGGAUAGCCCAGAGAAAUUUGGAUUAAUACCUCAUAGUAUAUAGCCCUGGCAUCAGGAUUAUAUUAAAGUCACAACGGUAAAAGAUGAGCAUGCGUCCCAUUAGCUAGUUGGUAAGGUAACGGCUUACCAAGGCUACGAUGGGUAGGGGUCCUGAGAGGGAGAUCCCCCACACUGGUACUGAGACACGGACCAGACUCCUACGGGAGGCAGCAGUGAGGAAUAUUGGACAAUGGGCGCAAGCCUGAUCCAGCCAUGCCGCGUGCAGGAUGACGGUCCUAUGGAUUGUAAACUGCUUUUAUACGAGAAGAAACACUCCUUCGUGAAGGAGCUUGACGGUAUCGUAAGAAUAAGGAUCGGCUAACUCCGUGCCAGCAGCCGCGGUAAUACGGAGGAUCCAAGCGUUAUCCGGAAUCAUUGGGUUUAAAGGGUCCGUAGGCGGUUUAAUAAGUCAGUGGUGAAAGCCCAUCGCUCAACGGUGGAACGGCCAUUGAUACUGUUAGACUUGAAUUAUUAGGAAGUAACUAGAAUAUGUAGUGUAGCGGUGAAAUGCUUAGAGAUUACAUGGAAUACCAAUUGCGAAGGCAGGUUACUACUAAUUGAUUGACGCUGAUGGACGAAAGCGUGGGUAGCGAACAGGAUUAGAUACCCUGGUAGUCCACGCCGUAAACGAUGGAUACUAGCUGUUGGAAGCAAUUUCAGUGGCUAAGCGAAAGUGAUAAGUAUCCCACCUGGGGAGUACGUUCGCAAGAAUGAAACUCAAAGGAAUUGACGGGGGCCCGCACAAGCGGUGGAGCAUGU